GAUGAACGCUGGCGGCGUGCUUAACACAUGCAAGUCGAACGAAGCAUUUGCGACAGAUUUUUUCGGAAUGAAGUUGCUUAUGACUGAGUGGCGGACGGGUGAGUAACGCGUGGGUAACCUGCCUUGUACUGGGGGAUAGCAGCUGGAAACGGCUGGUAAUACCGCAUAAGCGCACAAUGUUGCAUGACAUGGUGUGAAAAACUCCGGUGGUAUAAGAUGGACCCGCGUCUGAUUAGCUAGUUGGUGAGAUAACAGCCCACCAAGGCGACGAUCAGUAGCCGACCUGAGAGGGUGACCGGCCACAUUGGGACUGAGACACGGCCCAGACUCCUACGGGAGGCAGCAGUGGGGAAUAUUGCACAAUGGAGGAAACUCUGAUGCAGCGACGCCGCGUGAGUGAAGAAGUAAUUCGUUAUGUAGAGCUCUAUCAGCAGGGAAGAUAGUGACGGUACCUGACUAAGAAGCUCCGGCUAAAUACGUG
rnacentral:rRNA from 1 species